AUUAAACGCUGGCGGCAUGCCUUACACAUGCAAGUCGAACGGCAGCACGGGGGCAACCCUGGUGGCGAGUGGCGGACGGGUGAGUAAAGCAUCGGAACGUAUCCUGGAGUGGGGGAUAACGUAGCGAAAGUUACGCUAAUACCGCAUAUUCUGUGAGCAGGAAAGCAGGGGAUCGCAAGACCUUGCGCUCUGGGAGCGGCCGAUGUCGGAUUAGCUAGUUGGUGGGUAAAGGCCUACCAAGGCGACGAUCCGUAGCGGGUCUGAGAGGAUGAUCCGCCACACUGGGACUGAGACACGGCCCAGACUCCUACGGGAGGCAGCAGUGGGGAAUUUUGGACAAUGGGCGCAAGCCUGAUCCAGCCAUGCCGCGUGAGUGAAGAAGGCC
rnacentral:rRNA from 1 species